AUACGGAGGAUCCGAGCGUUAUCCGGAUUUAUUGGGUUUAAAGGGAGCGUAGGUGGAUUGUUAAGUCAGUUGUGAAAGUUUGCGGCUCAACCGUAAAAUUGCAGUUGAAACUGGCAGUCUUGAGUACAGUAGAGGUGGGCGGAAUUCGUGGUGUAGCGGUGAAAUGCUUAGAUAUCACGAAGAACUUCGAUUGCGAAGGCAGCUCACUAGACUGUUACUGACACUGAUGCUCGAAAGUGUGGGUAUCAAACAGGAUUAGAUACCCUGGUAGGCCACACAGUAAACGAUGAAUACUCGCUGUUUGCGAUAUACAGUAAGCGGCCAAGCGAAAGCAUUAAGUAUUCCACCUGGGGAGUACGCCGGCAACGGUGAAACUCACAUGAAUUGACGGGG
rnacentral:rRNA from 1 species